AAUAGCCUAACGGCUGAACCAGCAACUUGGAGGAAUGUAUAUAGGUUUUACUAGUAAAACAUAUGCAAUUUAUUUGUAUAAAGUUCUAGAUAGAAUUAUGAUAAUGACAUUGUCUAUCUAUAAGUCUUGGCCAAAUUACGUGCCAGCAGCCGCGGCAAGACGUUAAAGACUAGUGUUAUUCAUCUUUAAUAGGUUUAAAGGGUACCUAGACGGUAAAUCAAGCCUUAAGGGGACUAAUUUAACUAGAGUUAGAUGUAAAGGUGCCCAAACGUACUGUUGUGUUUAGAGAUAAAAUUCUUUUAUACCAGAUUAUUGGCACGGGUUUAGGCGAAAGCAUCACCUUAUGUAAUAACUGACGUUGAGGGACGAAGGCUUUGUGUCGCGAACAGGAUUAGAGACCCUGGUAGUCUAAGCAGUAAAUGAUGAGUGUCAUAGGUUAAAUAUUAUUUGGUCUAUAAAUGAAAGUGUAAGCAUUCCACCUCAAGAGUAAUAUGGCAACAUUGAAAUUGAAAUCAUUAGACCGUUUCUGAAAUCAGUAGUGAAGUAUGUUGUUUAAUUUGAUAAUCCACAAAGAACCUUACCACAAUUUGAAUAUUUUAUAUUACAAGCGUUGCACGGCUGUCUUCAGUUAAUGUCGUGAGAUUGUGGUUGGUUCCACUAAAUUAACGUAAACCCUUACUUUAUUUUAAAAAUAUAUAAAGUUGUUCGACUCUAGAUUGGUUAGAUAAUAGGGACUAAGACAAGUCAUCAUGGCCUAAUAU
rnacentral:rRNA from 1 species